CAGCAGACUCCUGACCAGUCCUCUGACGUUGUUAGCCAUGUUGGCAGACCUGGAGUCACUGGAGGCCAGCUUGAUCAGAGUCACCAGGAAGUUCUUGCACUUCUUCACACUGUCCAGGGUCGCCUGUUGGUGAAACGUCAGGCUCUGAUUGUUAUUAUAAAUGUCUGACAACAUCGAGGAAAGAGUCUCGCUCAAGGAAGAAGUCUCCUUCUGAAAUCUGGUGAGGUGACGUGUUGCUGGAAGUUAACGGUGGAAUAUGGAAUACAUCCAUGGUGGAAAUGUGAGUGUUAUGUUGUGUUGGAGUACAGAGAGCGUAGCUUAGUGUUAAAGGUCCCAUAUUAUGCUAAUUUUCA